GUGCUCUCUUCAGCAGCACAUAUACUAUAAUUGGAAUGAUAUAGAGAAAAUUAGCAUGGCCCCUGUUCAAGGAUGACAGGCAAUUCGUGAAGCAUUACAUAUUUUU
ensembl:snRNA U6 U6 spliceosomal RNA